GACAGCCGUUGAAACCAGCACGGGCGUAGGAGUUUUCUCCACGCCCGUGCGAUCAUGUUAAGGGCUAAAUAAAUGGC
rfam:Pantoea stewartii subsp. stewartii DC283 WGS_Sequence01, whole genome shotgun sequence.